GGGCAUCGAGCAGAGGGAAAAGGAGCAAUCCGCUUUGAGAUGGCCUCGCGUCCGAUUAGCUAGUUGGUGAGGUAACGGCCCACCAAGGCAACGAUCGGUAGCCGGACUGAGAGGUUGAACGGCCACAUUGGGACUGAGACACGGCCCAGACUCCUACGGGAGGCAGCAGUGGGGAAUAUUGCACAAUGGGGGAAACCCUGAUGCAGCGACGCCGCGUGGAGGAAGAAGGUCUUCGGAUUGUAAACUCCUGUUGUUGAGGAAGAUAAUGACGGUACUCAACAAGGAAGUGACGGCUAACUACGUGCCAGCAGCCGCGGUAAAACGUAGGUCACAAGCGUUGUCCGGAAUUACUGGGUGUAAAGGGAGCGCAGGCGGGAGAACAAGUUGGAAGUGAAAUCCAUGGGCUCAACCCAUGAACUGCUUUCAAAACUGUUUUUCUUGAGUAGUGCAGAGGUAGGCGGAAUUCCCGGUGUAGCGGUGGAAUGCGUAGAUAUCGGGAGGAACACCAGUGGCGAAGGCGGCCUACUGGGCACCAACUGACGCUGAGGCUCGAAAGUGUGGGUAGCAAACAGGAUUAGAUACCCUGGUAGUCCACACCGUAAACGAU
rnacentral:rRNA from 1 species